GAUGAACGCUGACAGAAUGCUUAACACAUGCAAGUCUACUUGAAUUUGGGUUUUUUAACUUAGAUUUGGGUGGCGGACGGGUGAGUAACGCGUAAAGAACUUGCCUCACAGUUAGGGACAACAUUUGGAAACGAAUGCUAAUACCUGAUAUUAUGAAUAUAUGGCAUCAUAUAAUUAUGAAAGCUAUAAGCGCUGUGAGAGAGCUUUGCGUCCCAUUAGCUAGUUGGAGAGGUAACGGCUCACCAAGGCGAUGAUGGGUAGCCGGCCUGAGAGGGUGAACGGCCACAAGGGGACUGAGACACGGCCCUUACUCCUACGGGAGGCAGCAGUGGGGAAUAUUGGACAAUGGACCAAGAGUCUGAUCCAGCAAUUCUGUGUGCACGAUGACGUUUUUCGGAAUGUAAAGUGCUUUCAGUUGGGAAGAAAAAAAUGACGGUACCAACAGAAGAAGAGACGGCUAAAUACGUG
rnacentral:rRNA from 1 species